UGGCGGAUGCUUUACACAUGCAAGUCGAACGGCAGCAUAGAGAGCUUGCUCUCUGAUGGCGAGUGGCGAACGGGUGAGUAAUAUAUCGGAACGUGCCUAGUAAUGGGGAACAACUAAUCGAAAGGUUAGCUAAUACCGCAUACGACCUACGGGUGAAAGCAGGGGAUCUUCGGACCUUGCGUUAUUAGAGCGGCCGAUAUCUGAUUAGGUAGUUGGUGGGGUAAAGGCCUACCAAGCCGACGAUCAGUAGCUGGUCUGAGAGGACGAUCAGCCACACUGGAACUGAGACACGGUCCAGACUCCUACGGGAGGCAGCAGUGGGGAAUUUUGGACAAUGGGGGAAACCCUGAUCCAGCCAUUCCGCGUGAGUGAAGAAGGCCUUCGGGUUGUAAAGCUCUUUCGCAAGAGAAGAAAUCUUACUAUCUAAUAAAUAGUGAGGAUGACGGUAUCUUGACAAGAAGCACCGGCUAACUAUGUGCCAGCAGCCGCGGUAAUACAUAGGGUGCGAGCGUUAAUCGGAAUUACUGGGCGUAAAGGGUGCGCAGGCGGUCUUAUAAGUCAGAUGUGAAAUCCCCGAGCUCAACUUGGGAACUGCGUUUGAAACUAUAAGACUAGAGUGUGUCAGAGGGGGGUAGAAUUCCAUGUGUAGCAGUGAAAUGCGUAGAUAUGUGGAGGAAUACCAAUGGCGAAGGCAGCCCCCUGGGAUAACACUGACGCUCAUGCACGAAAGCGUGGGGAGCAAACAGGAUUAGAUACCCUGGUAGUCCACGCCCUAAACGAUGUCUACUAGUUGUUGGUGGAGUAAAAUCCAUGAGUAACGCAGCUAACGCGUGAAGUAGACCGCCUGGGGAGUAC
rnacentral:rRNA from 1 species